rnacentral:rRNA from 2 species
AAAUUGAAGAGUUUGAUCAUGGCUCAGAUUGAACGCUGGCGGCAGGCCUAACACAUGCAAGUCGAACGGUAACAGGAAGCAGCUUGCUGCUUUGCUGACGAGUGGCGGACGGGUGAGUAAUGUCUGGGAAACUGCCUGAUGGAGGGGGAUAACUACUGGAAACGGUGGCUAAUACCGCAUAACGUCGCAAGACCAAAGAGGGGGACCUUCGGGCCUCUUGCCAUCAGAUGUGCCCAGAUGGGAUUAGCUUGUUGGUGAGGUAACGGCUCACCAAGGCGACGAUCCCUAGCUGGUCUGAGAGGAUGACCAGCCACACUGGAACUGAGACACGGUCCAGACUCCUACGGGAG